CCGAAUGGGGAAACCCAGUGUGAUUCGUCACACUAUCAUUAACUGAAUCCAUAGGUUAAUGAGGCGAACCGGGGGAACUGAAACAUCUAAGUACCCCGAGGAAAAGAAAUCAACCGAGAUUCCCCCAGUAGCGGCGAGCGAACGGGGAGGAGCCCAGAGCCUGAAUCAGCAUGUGUGUUAGUGGAAGCGUCUGGAAAGGCGCGCGAUACAGGGUGACAGCCCCGUACACAAAAGCGCAUGUGCUGUGAGCUCGAUGAGUAGGGCGGGACACGUGGUAUCCUGUCUGAAUAUGGGGGGACCAUCCUCCAAGGCUAAAUACUCCUGACUGACCGAUAGUGAACCAGUACCGUGAGGGAAAGGCGAAAAGAACCCCGGCGAGGGGAGUGAAAAAGAACCUGAAACCGUGUACGUACAAGCAGUGGGAGCACCCUUUGGGGUGUGACUGCGUACCUUUUGUAUAAUGGGUCAGCGACUUAUAUUCUGUAGCAAGGUUAACCGAAUAGGGGAGCCGGAGGGAAACCGAGUCUUAACCGGGCGUUAAGUUGCAGGGUAUAGACCCGAAACCCGGUGAUCUAGCCAUGGGCAGGUUGAAGGUUGGGUAACACUAACUGGAGGACCGAACCGACUAAUGUUGAAAAAUUAGCGGAUGACCUGUGGCUGGGGGUGAAAGGCCAAUCAAACCGGGAGAUAGCUGGUUCUCCCCGAAAGCUAUUUAGGUAGCGCCUCGUGAAUUCAUCUCCGGGGGUAGAGCACUGUUUCGGCUAGGGGGCCAUCCCGGCUUACCAACCCGAUGCAAACUGCGAAUACCGGAGAAUGUUAUCACGGGAGACACACGGCGGGUGCUAACGUCCGUCGUGAAGAGGGAAACAACCCAGACCGCCAGCUAAGGUCCCAAAGUCAUGGUUAAGUGGGAAACGAUGUGGGAAGGCCCAGACAGCCAGGAUGUUGGCUUAGAAGCAGCCAUCAUUUAAAGAAAGCGUAAUAGCUCACUGGUCGAGUCGGCCUGCGCGGAAGAUGUAACGGGGCUAAACCAUGCACCGAAGCUGCGGCAGCGACACUGAGGUGUUGUUGGGUAGGGGAGCGUUCUGUAAGCCUGUGAAGGUGUGUCGUGAGGCAUGCUGGAGGUAU
rnacentral:rRNA from 1 species